rnacentral:rRNA from 1 species
AGCAGCCGCGGUAAUUCCAGCUCCAAUAGCGUAUAUUAAAGUUGUUGCAGUUAAAAAGCUCGUAGUUGAAUUUCGGGGUUAGUAGGUUGGUCAUGCCUCUGGUAUGUACUGGUCUCACUGAUUCCUCCUUCCUGAUGAGCCGUAAUGCCAUUAAUUUGGUGUUGCGGGGAAUUUGGACUGUUACUUUGAAAAAAUUAGAGUGUUUAAAGCAAGCUAACGCUUGAAUACAUUAGCAUGGAAUAAUGAAAUAGGACGUUCGAUCCUAUUUUGUUGGUUUCUAGGAUUGACGUAAUGAUUAAUAGGGAUAGUUGGGGGCAUUAGUAUUCAAUUGUCAGAGGUGAAAUUCUUGGAUUUAUUGAAGACUAACUACUGCGAAAGCAUUUGCCAAGGAUGUUUUCAUUAAUCAAGAACGAAAGUUAGGGGAUCGAAGACGAUCAGAUACCGUCGUAGUCUUAACCAUAAACUAUGCCGACUAGGGAUCGGAUGAUGUUAAUUUUUUAAUGUACU